rnacentral:rRNA from 1 species
AUGGCGGACCAUGCUCCGACCAUGAUGCUGGCGACCAUCGACUCCGUGCAGGAGCGCACGGACAUUCAGGUCAGCCACACCCCGACAACAAAGUGUUCGGGGUCCACCGUGUUGACGGGAGAUGGCUCCCUGACAACGGCGUGUGCGUGCAGCUACGUCUUCCUCAACGAGGAGAGAGCCGUGACCACACCCACGCUUGCAGGCAGCAAGCAAAGUGAGGGUUGGUUCCUCGACACCGGCGCCACGAACCACAUGACUGGUUCAGUCGACGCGUUCGCGGAGCUGGACCGCUCAAUCACCGGGAAGGUGCGGUUCGCGGACGGAUCCGUGGUGGAGAUCCACGGGCGCGGGACCGUCGUCUUCGCCGACAAAGGGGGUGAUCACAGGGUGUUCACGGACGUCUACUUCAUCCCGGCGCUCAAGAGCAGCGUCGUGAGUGUCGGACAGCUCGACGAGGGCUGGUUCGACAUCGGCAUCCGCCACGGUGUUCUCACCGUGCGUGACCAGCAGAAGAGGCUGCUCAUCGAUGUAACCCGCUCGGAAAACCGCCUCUACAAGCUCUUCUUUCGACCCGUGCAUCCUGUGUGCCUUGCCGUGGGCCAUGUCUCCGACGCGUGGCGUUGGCAUGCCCGGCUAGGACACCAGCACUUCGACGGGUUGUGGAAGAUGGCGCGAGGCAAACUCGUUUGUGGGCCACCUCACAUCGAGCAUGCCGAUGAUUUGUGCGAUGCAUGUCUUGCCGGGAAGCAGCGGCGCCUGCCCUUUCCCGAGAAGGCACGCUAUCAGGCGCAGAAACCCCUGGAAUUGGUUCAUGGGGACCUCUGCGGCCCAAUCACCCGACAACGCCAGGAGGGCAUCGCUACAUCCUGCUGCUCGUCGACGACUACAGCAGGUUCAUGUGGGUGUUGCUCCUCGCCUCCAAGGACGAGGCGGAGCAAGCCAUCGUCAAGCAGCAAGCGUCAGCAGAGGUGGAAUGCGGCCACAAGCUGCGCGUGCUACGCACGGACCGUGUCGGCGAGUUCACGUCGGCCACGUUCUACAAGCACUGCGACGACAAAGGGGUACAACGUCACCUGA